rnacentral:lncRNA from 1 species
AGUUUAAGAGAUUUGACACUCAGAGCCCAGGCCUUCCCCUACCCUCUCCUUCUUUCUAGCCUUUUUGGAAUUACGUGUUUGCUACUCAUCUCAUCCCAGGCGCUGUGAACCUACCUUGGUUUCAGGAUAGAAUCAGUCCUGGAGGCUGCUUUAUUAUCAUAAUUAAGUCUUUCAACCUGAUAAGAUACUGUGAAAUGGCUCAUGAAGGAAUUCAAAGUUCUACCGAAAAUCAAUAAAGGCUUUCGAACAGAAUUUGAUAAUGGAAAAGUCAGUGAAAAAAUUGAAGUACCCGUUAGGAGGACACUGGAGAAUUUCAAGAAAAUGAAGCAGAAAACCAUAACACUUGGCCCCAUGGAAAGUGAAAAGCUACCAGCCAUAUUCUCCGUCCUGUAAUCUCUCAGUUUCAUGAGCCUCGACUUUACUUCCCUGUGUAUAUCUGCACUCGAAGACUCUGCCUAUGACCUUUUCAGCCUCUGGAUCCCAAAAAAGAUGUUCUACCUAUCAGAUACGUGUUGAAGAGUUUCCUUGGUCCAGUGAGCUGUGACUUGUGAGAAUGGAGAUCACAAUGUAUAUUAUUCCCUGUGCCUACCCUUUUAUCCUAGAGUAUCAACCAACAUAAAUUAAUGGUGCUGAUGUAAGCAUGGAAACAAUGAUUUACAAAACACAACAACAACAAACAAAAAACUGUUAAACUGUGAUUAAAAAGAAAAUCAACAAACAAAAAACCCUUCUACUGAUGAAUCCAGUGUUCAUUCUUUUUUACUUUUCCGACUCAGGAAACACUUGACAAUCAAUUUUUCUACUACUUGCCCAUUUGAUCAGCAUGGAUGAAAUGCUGUGGGAGUGGCAGGGUGGGUUUAGACAUGUUUACUUUCUUGGUGAGCUUGAAGUUUGUGAUCUAAGUAUAGUCUGUUGCAUGAAGAUUAACCACUUUCAUUUUUAGCUUAUUACAGUAGAAUCAGAAC